AAAAAAAAAAAAAAAACAGUUUGAAGCACCUCCACUUUUGCAAAAAACUAAGAAAAAAAUUCCCUCUUGACCCCAGAAUGGCAGUCAGAUUAAUCCUUGGAUCAAGAAGUUAUUACCUUACAGCUGAAAUAUUAUAUCAUUGAAUAUUCUGUUUUUGCAAGUAUGUAUCUACAGAAAUAAAGCAAUAAAGAUAAUAAAGGAG